rnacentral:rRNA from 1 species
CCUACGUGCGGCAGCAGUGAGGAAUAUUGGUCAAUGGGCGCUAGCCUGAACCAGCCAAGUAGCGUGAAGGAUGACUGCCCUAUGGGUUGUCAACUUCUUUUAUAUGGGAAUAAAGUGCAGUAUGUAUACUGCUUUGCAUGUACCUUAUGAAUAAGGAUCGGCUAACUACGUGCCAGCAGCCGCUGUAAUACGGAGGAUCCGAGCGUUAUCCGGAUUGAUUUGGUUUACCGGGAGCGUAGGCGGGUUGUUAAGUCAGUUGUGAAAGUUUGCGGCGUAACCGUAAAAUUGCAGUUGAUACUUGCAUCGUUGAGUACAGUAGAGGUAGGCGGAAUUCGUGGUGUAGCGGUGAAAUGCUUAGAUAUCACGAAGAACUCCGAUUGCGAAGGCAGCCUGCUGGACUGUAACUGACGCUGAUGCU